rnacentral:rRNA from 1 species
AGGCUGGAAUCCUGGCUCAGAACGAACGCUGGCGGCGUGCCUAAUACAUGCAAGUCGAGCGCGGGAAGCAAGCUGGAUCCCUUCGGGGUGAAGCUCGUGGAACGAGCGGCGGACGGGUGAGUAACACGUGGGCAACCUACCUGUAAGAUCGGAAUAACCCCGGGAAACCGGAGCUAAUGCCGGGUAAUACAUUUCUCCGCAUGAAGGAAAUGUUAAAAGAUGGCUUCUCGCUAUCACUUACAGAUGGGCCCGCGGCGCAUUAGCUAGUUGGUGAGGUAACGGCUCACCAAGGCGACGAUGCGUAGCCGACCUGAGAGGGUGAUCGGCCACACUGGGACUGAGACACGGCCCAGACUCCUACGGGAGGCAGCAGUAGGGAAUCUUCCGCAAUGGACGAAAGUCUGACGGAGCAACGCCGCGUGAACGAUGAAGGUCUUCGGAUCGUAAAGUUCUGUUGUUAGGGAAGAACAAGUACCGUGCGAAUAGAGCGGUACCUUGACGGUACCUAACGAGGAAGCCCCGGCUAACUACGUGCCAGCAGCCGCGGUAAUACGUAGGGGGCAAGCGUUGUCCGGAAUUAUUGGGCGUAAAGCGCACGCAGGCGGUUCCUUAAGUCUGAUGUGAAAGCCCACGGCUCAACCGUGGAGGGUCAUUGGAAACUGGGGAACUUGAGGACAGAAGAGGAGAGUGGAAUUCCACGUGUAGCGGUGAAAUGCGUAGAUAUGUGGAGGAACACCA